rnacentral:rRNA from 1 species
GAUCCUGGCUCAGGAUGAACGCUAGCUACAGGCUUAACACAUGCAAGUCGAGGGGCAGCAUGGUCUUAGCUUGCUAAGGCCGAUGGCGACCGGCGCACGGGUGAGUAACACGUAUCCAACCUGCCGUCUACUCUUGGACAGCCUUCUGAAAGGAAGAUUAAUACAAGAUGGCAUCAUGAGUCCGCAUGUUCACAUUNUAAGUAAGUCGUACGACGA